rnacentral:rRNA from 1 species
UACAGAGGUGGCAAGCGUUGUCCGGAUUUACUGGGCGUAAAGAGCGCGCAGGCGGUCGUUCAAGUCGCGUGUGAAAGCCCCCGGCUCAACUGGGGAGGGUCACGCGAUACUGAUCGACUCGAAGGCAGGAGAGGGUAGUGGAAUUCCCGGUGUAGUGGUGAAAUGCGUAGAUAUCGGAAGGAACAUCAGUGGCGAAAGCGACUUCCUGGACCAAUACUGACGCUCAUGUGCGAAAGCGUGGGGAGCAAACAGG